AGCCAUGUGAUAAACACAAAGCGAAUUAUUCUUUCGCCUUUUACUAAAGAAUACCGUGUGUUUGUCACUACAAAUGGCAUACGCCUAUUUUUGGAAGAGUCCUGUUGAAGGACUCU
rnacentral:snRNA from 1 species